rnacentral:tRNA from 1 species
GGAGAGGGUCUGUGGCUCAGGGACAGAGCAUCUGUCUGGCACGCAGAAGGUCCCAGGUUUGAUCCCCAGCAUCUCCA